GUGCUCGCUUUGGCAGCACGUACAAGAAAAUCGGAAUGAUGCAGAGAAGACCAGCAUGGCCCCUGCGCAAGGAUGACAUGCAAAUUCGUGAAGCGUUCCAUAUUUUU